rnacentral:tRNA from 2 species
CGCGGGGUGGAGCAGUUGGCAGCUCGUCGGGCUCAUAACCCGAAGGUCGUAGGUUCGAGUCCUACCCCCGCAACCA